rnacentral:ribozyme from 1 species
UGUCCAGCAACUCCUAUCCCUACCUCCUCGUGGUACUGGCCGGGGUACGAGUAACCUUGGGGAAGA